GCUUAUCUGGUUGAUCCUGCCAGUAGUCAUACGCUCGUCUCAAAGAUUAAGCCAUGCAUGUGUAAGUAUAAAUAGUUAACUUUGAAACUGCGAAUGGCUCAUUUUAUCAGUUAUAGUUUAUUUGAUGAAAUGUACUAAUUGGAUAACCGUAGUAAUUCUAGAGCUAAUACAUGUAUAAAGUCUUGUAGACUGCAUUUAUUAGAAUGAAAACCAUAGGUUUCGGCCUAUUCGUGAGUAAUAAUAACUAAUCAUAUCGUAUGCUUAAGUAACGAUGUGUCUUUCAAGUUUCUGCCCUAUCAGCUCUCGAUGGUAGUGUAUUGGACUACCAUGGCAGUAACGGGUAACGAAGAAUUUGGGUCCGAUUUCGGAGAGGGAGCCUGAGAGAUGGCUACCACAUCCAAGGAAGGCAGCAGGCGCGUAAAUUACCCAAUCCCGACACAGGGAGGUAGUGACAAUAAAUCACAAUGCGGAACAAUGUUUUGCAAUUGGAUUGAGAACAACGUACAAACCUUAUCGAUAAACAAUUGGAGGGCAAGUCUGGUGCCAGCAGCCGCGGUAAUUCCAGCUCCAAUAGCGUAUAUUAACGUUGUUGCAGUUAAAAAGCU
rnacentral:rRNA from 1 species